rnacentral:lncRNA from 1 species
GUUCGCCGUUCGCAAGCUUCUGAGAUCGCAAGCUCUUUCUUUUUUUCCUUUCUGAGUUUUCUUUUCUUUUUUAUCUCUUUUGUUUUUUAACUUUUAACUUUAAGUUUUUUUUUUAAAAUUAAAUGAUUUACCUAGUAAGCAAUGAUUUACCUAGUAAGCAGCCAUGUAAGCACCCAUGUCAGCAGCCACGUAAGCAUCUAGUUCGCCACCUGUAAAAAUUAACAGUUUC